rnacentral:rRNA from 1 species
GAAUCCCGUCUUUGGCACGGAUGUACCGGGGCUUUUGUGAUGCGCUCUCGAAGAGUCGAGUUGUUUGGGAAUGCAGCUCAAAAUGGGUGGUAAAUGCCAUCUAAAGCUAAAUAUUGGCGAGAGACCGAUAGCGAACAAGUACCGUGAGGGAAAGAUGAAAAGCACUUUGGAAAGAGAGUUAAACAGUACGUGAAAUUGCUGAAAGGGAAACGCUUGAAGUCAGUCGCGUCGGCUAGAAAUCAACCUUGCUUUUGCUUGGUGUACUUUCUUGUUGAUGGGUCAGCAUCAAUUUUGACCGUUGGAUAAAGUCGUUGGGAAUGUGGCAUCUUAGGAUGUGUUAUAGCCCAUCGUCGCAUACAGCGGUUGGGAUUGAGGAACUCAGCACGCCCUUCUGGGGACGGGUUUCGACCACGUUUCGUGCUUAGGAUGCUGGCAUAAUGGCUUUAAUCGACCCGUCUUGAAACACGGACCAAGGAGUCUAACAUGCCUGCGAGUGUUUGGGUGGAAAACCCAUGCGCGCAAUGAAAGUGAAAGUUGAGAUCCCCUCAAGGGGAGCAUCGACGCCCGGACCAGAGCUUCUGUGACGGAUCCGCGGUAGAGCAUGUAUGUUGGGACCCGAAAGAUGGUGAACUAUGCCUGAAUAGGGUGAAGCCAGAGGAAACUCUGGUGGAGGCUCGUAGCGAUUCUGACGUGCAAAUCGAUCGUCAAAUUUGGGUAUAGGGGCGAAAGACUAAUCGAACCAUCCAGUAGCUGGUUCCUGCC